CUGUGUUUCAGGGGUAGCUCCACGGCGUGGCUGUCAUGGCUCAGCGUGACAAUUCAGGACUUCCACCUGUGGCUGACCGUGUCUCACUGCGCAUCCUGCACCAGGUCAUGCAACGGCAUCGUCUUUGUGACGUCACUCGCCGGGAUUUCCCUUGGAUUGCUCGCCUGCUGCCUCUACUUCCUCCAGAGACGGACGGUACCAGAUCCCAUGGUGCUCAUGCAGGGUAAGCGACGUUUUGGUCUCGCGGCCUACGGCAGGAACGCCUUCACGGGCUCCAUAGAUCUCCAUGGAUCUCCAUGGGUCUCUGUUUUUCCGUGUCUCUAUGGGUCUCUGUGUGUCUCUAUGGAUCUGUGUUUA